UUAAACAAAAUAUUAGUUUUAUAGCCUUGUGAUAAUAGUUAAUAUGUAUGGAUUUACUUACACUGUAUUCUGGAUCUCUCAUUUGUUAAAUACACUUACAAAAAGGCUUUAGAAAAUCCACAGAAGCUGGUUAAAAUUUUCAGCGUAUGUCCAUGCUACCAAUUGCGUUUCUGCUAUAGCUAGGUAAAAAAUACAGAUGGGACUGUACUACCACUUCAGGCAGCAAACUGUUGUCAAACCAUUUGUUCCCACUUGUAUUUUUCCUUUUCUACCACAGUAUUUAAGUCACUGUUGAUUUCUAUAGUAGUAUUGAGAAAAAUGGCAGAAAAAUAUUUUCAUUGAGGGAAUUCUACUCUUAAGCCAUGAGGAAGACUUAAAUGCCUAGAAUUAGUGCAAUCUCUUUCUGCCUUGUAGGGAAGGAGUCACAAAUGCAUUAUUACUGUUCACUCCCAACUGCAUUUUAUUGCAGUAUAUAAAGCAGUUUGUUUCAGGAAAUUAAACAGCAUCUGAGACAGCGUAGGAAUGUAUGUUGUUUGGAGUUAGUUUGUUCUGUAUUUACGUUACUCAAUUUUUUUUGUUUCUUCUGAACUCACUGUCACUAGUUACCAAUGGAGAUGCUAUACUGGACUGUCUGGGGUUUUGUCUAAUUAAGUAGGAUGUUUCCAAUGUUUUAACUGUGCACUUCUUUACAGUCCUCUUAUCUCUACAACAUAUGUUUCUUAAAACGUUUUUUAAAAUAUGGUUUUUAAAAAUAGAGUGUUAGGUAAAAUGGGAGAUACAUGAAGUUGAAAAGCAGAAAAAAUGACAGCAGUGCGUGCAAAUGUCAAUCCUGUAUCUUUAUAAAUUCUCUUACUGCCUGCCCUUAUGUCAUGUAGCAUAUGAAGUGACCUGUCCACCUCAGACAUGUGCUGUCUUCCCAUAUGGCAAAUCCUAAGCCUGCAAAGCUGCUUUCUGGUCUCCUUUACAUGAUUUCUACUCCUUUCUGCUAGGGAGGAGCUCUUGCUGCUAAUAAAAGAAUUAAUUGCUGUGGCACUUGGAGCUUAGGAAAUGACAAAAGUGGGCUGGGAAGCCCAGGAGAGGGAAUUCCUUGCUCUAGGGAAUUUGAUGGCUUUAGGUAAAACAAAUAUGACUGAGCUGUCCACCUACUCUGACAGCUUAAUUUUUCUGUGUUAGCAAAUCCCAUUUUAGCCUAGGUAUCCUUUCCAGGUCCAGACAAAUUCAGUGUUACAGUCAGUAGGAAAAAGCAGCAGCUACUUUUUCUGUUUUGACCUCUGCCUGUCUUCUAGGAGAGUUUUUACUGUGGGAUCUGGUGGCUCAACAAUUAAGCGGGAUACAUUUUCCAUCCUACCAUUAGGACCAUUUUAAAUAAGUAUCCGUGGCAAAAACCUUAAUAAAAGUAGCAAGUAUCCACCAGAAUACUUCAUUGCUUAGGUAUGUGGAGGAUAUUUUUCAGUUAUACACCCAAGUAAUUUCAGAGUUUGUGUAAAUCAUACAACACAAUCAGGAAUUUACAGAAGUGUCCAAACUUUUCAAAGUGUCCAAAAAAACCAAGAUACUGCUCUUCUAGCAGCACCUUCAACAUAUCAGAGGUUGGAAUAUCUAGAAUGGAUAUUUUCAUUUUUCCGUGGUCUUUAGAAGAAGCUUGCUGUCUUACAUGCUGCUAGACCAGCCCAGACUUCUUUAAGAUCUUGAGAACAUAAAGAGAAAUCUCUUUUCCUAAUUCUUGAUCCUUAGAGCACUGUAACUCCCUCAUUACAAGCCUAACCAAGCAGGAUAAGAAGUUCUGAAAUAAAUGUGAAACUUCAGGAGAUGGCACUGGGAGACUUUAAGAGAUGUCCGUCUUCCACAAAUCAAUAAUGCCAGUUACAUCUGCAGAGUAGCAGCGCUGUAGAAGCAACACAAGGUAUUAUCAUACGGUACAGGAGAGAAGGAAAUGUCUUCUGGUGCCGGUGAUAUCUAGGGGAGAUCUAUAGCAUGCCACAAAGUAGUGGGGAGCGUAUCUGGACACCAAAACAACUUAAAAGUUUUUGAUAGAUAUAUAUUUUAGUUAAUUAAAAGUUGCAAAGCUCUGUACAGGUGUAUAUGGAUGAAAUGUAGCUGUGAUAGACAGAAAAACUAGGUUUGUAGGUCAUGUUACCUGGCUGUCAAUGCUAAGAAUAAACCUGUAUUUUCAUGCAUUCAACUGUUGCACAGAUACUGCAAGCCCCUUCUUAAUAUCAGUGACUGAAAAUACAUCCUCAUAUGACCUACACCCUUGUGUGACACAGCAGAAGAAGCAGAAAUAAUGUAGUGAGGAGAGCACGCUGUGGGGGAGAAGUGUCAACAGAGACACUGACUCUGGGAAAUGUAGGCUGGGGGGUCAGAAACAAGGGUAGUGAGGCAGAGAGGGCUGUGAUAUGUUUAUGUUCUGGGAUACAUAUAUAUGCCUUAAUGCUUCUGAAUUGAGGGAGAUUUCACAGACGGUCCAUGAAAAUUCAUACACAUGAAAACAAACAAUUCCUAGCAUCUAUAUGAAAUCACGUGAAGGUGACAAAAUGACAGUGUUAAAUUUUACACUGUUGUGUUUUGCAGAGAAGUGAGUACUGUUCAAGGAAAAAGGCAAUGAAGAAUCUCUUGGCUGGCAGUCUUGGAUGAAUGUUCUGUCUGCUUUCCUAUAUUCUUGGUCGUACUCAGAACAGCCAACUAAGGAAAUAAUGUAGAAAACGUGGAGAAAAAAAUUAAGUCUUGGUUCCAGUGAAAUUCAGUUCCACAGAGCAAAUUCCAAGAUUGCGCAUUGCUUUUAGUGGAGUAAUUUUUCUUUUUAAUGGUAUAAAAGAAGAGCGUAAGGUAUCACUGCAUUUAGUAUAUUUUGCUCUUCAUAGAAGACAUGAAGGCAUUGUUCAUAAAGUUCAUAGAGUUGCUAUCUGAGCAGCUGAAGGGGAAGAACAAAUAAACACAGCAGUAUAUUUCUAAUUAAAUUCACAGAUCUAAAACCUGGAAUUUAGUGGUGGUACAAAGUAUAUUCACAAGAGCACUGAAGCCAGUGGAUGUCUGAACAUUUGACACCCCUGACUAAAACUCUUCACUGUUUAAAGGUCACAUGCCAAUGAAGAGGCAAAGCACCAAGGGAGAUUAUAAAACUACAGUCUGAUUGCCCGUGAGGCUGGCUGAGAAAAGGAGAUGUUGAACAGGAUAAGAAGUGGACAUGUCUGGUCUGAUUUCAAUGGAUUUGGACUGUGGAGGGAGGAGAGAAGACACACAGUUUGGCCAGGUAUUUGAGUUUAGGAGUCCAAGUGCAAUCUUUCUGUAGGCAUUCCUGACAGCAUGUGGAAAGUUGGAAAUCUGGUGUACAGCUGUUGAGGUGUAUCGAUGUAGUUAUCCAAAUGUGAAUCAAGCUGGGUUGAAGAUCGAAUUGAGUAAAAGAGUGGAGGAGAUUUAUCUUUUUGAAACUUGAGUGAAGGAUCUGAAAAUCAAAGAACAUCUCAACAGCUGGGAAUUUCCAACCAAUAAAUAAAAUCCUUGGCAAAAGAUACCUUCAUUUAUCUGAAACAAAAAGUACUCGGAGAACAGGGCUAUAUUGCAGGAGGAGGAAGUGAAUUAUUGGCUGUGCUCUAUGUGAUGCAGCACACUAUUCAGCUUGUGCUGGAUUGUGCCAUGUUUGUAACCUUGCUGCUGCAGGCUGGCACAGGCAUUCCCUGACAUCUGGAAGUAUUAAAAUCCCAGGAUGAGGUUCUGUCAUUUCCAAAUGUGUUUCCAGCAGCUUGGAAGACACAAAAGUACAGUGACUCAAAUGCCAAUUAGUUUCAGUAUUUUUUGUAUUUAAAUAGGGCAGAGACGCAGAAAUCCCAAGCACAGAUUAAGAGUUUGGGGUGUGCAGUUCCAUGAUGGAAAUGAUGCCCUAAGCAUGCACACUGAUAGUUUCCAUAAACAGCACAUCAGUACGUUGCACAGCCUGUCACAAAAGCUGUACGUACAGAGGGAUGGCUCCACGUGUACACGUAGCCGUCCACAUUCACAACAGGCAUGACGUAGAAAUCAAAGUGCUCCAGAAGUCUUGUCAUGGUCCGAUCUCUCUCACGCACAUGGAUUGCCUAUAAAGCACAGGGGAAACUUAAAAACUUAAAAGUUUUUGUAAUAGUGGUUUUCUUACCUUCCUAGAAAGGCACCUGAUAGCAUAUGUGAAAUAAUUGUGCAAUUAUCAGACCAGUCUACCUCUUGAUAGAGGCACGUCAUGUCACAGAAAUUGCUUAACAGCAAAGCAGCUCUUCGUUUAGAAGUGCCAGGGAAAGGGUAGGAAUCAAACUGAUACAGUCAAUCAGAUAUACUGCAGUCUUUUAAUGUUGGUCAUGACAUAGAGUUGAAGCCUAAUAAUAGGAAGGUUUGAGUUUUUGCUGCUUGUAUAAAUGAUAGGAACCCUCCCUGUCACCGCAAAUGCCACAAAGGCAGCAUAAAAUAAAGCAAGACCAAAAAUAGCAAGUAACAUUUCCGACGGCUGCUGUAUGUAACAUUUUCUCUUCUGGUCGCAUUGUAAGUUCAAUGCACUUGUAUGCCAAGUCAGUAAGAUCUACAUUGCUAACUUUGCCUCACAGCCUAUUUUGAAGGUGUUAGUGAUACUAACCUGGUUGUUUGUCCACAACACGGAGGGGGAAAUUUUAACCUAGAUAAACAGGUUUGUUACGAGUGGAAUAGACUAAGUCCUUAAUCAUAUCUUUUUCUUGUUCUUUCUGCCUUACUUAAACCACCCUCUUUCAUUUAAAAUCCUUCCUAGUUUUCCUAAGGCA